GACGAACGCUGGCGGCGUGCUUAACACAUGCAAGUCGAACGGAAAGGCCCUGCUUUUGUGGGGUGCUCGAGUGGCGAACGGGUGAGUAACACGUGAGUAACCUGCCCUUGACUUUGGGAUAACUUCAGGAAACUGGGGCUAAUACCGGAUAGGAGCUCCUGCUGCAUGGUGGGGGUUGGAAAGUUUCGGCGGUUGGGGAUGGACUCGCGGCUUAUCAGCUUGUUGGUGGGGUAGUGGCUUACCAAGGCUUUGACGGGUAGCCGGGCUGAGAGGGUGACCGGCCAAAUUGGGACUGAAGAACGGCCCAGACCCCUAGGGGGGGCAGCAGGGGGGAAUUUUGCACAAGGGGGGGAGCCCUGAUCCAACAACGCCGCCGGCGGGAAGGCGCCCUUCGGGGUUGAAACCGCUUUCGCCUGUAACGAAGCGGGAGUGGCGGUAAUGGGUAAAGGAGCCCCGGCUAACUACGU
rnacentral:rRNA from 1 species